rnacentral:rRNA from 1 species
UAGAGGAAGUAAAAGUCGUAACAAGGUUUCCGUAGGUGAACCUGCGGAAGGAUCAUUAUCUAUUCCAUGAGGUGCGGUCGCGGCCCUCGGCGGGAGCAACAGCUACCGUCGGGCGGUAGAGGUAACACUUUCACGCGCCGCAUGUCUGAAUCCUUUUUUUACGAGCACCUUUCGUUCUCCUUCGGCGGGGCAACCUGCCGUUGGAACCUAUCAAAACCUUUUUUUUGCAUCUAGCAUUACCUGUUCUGAUACAAACAAUCGUUACAACUUUCAACAAUGGAUCUCUUGGCUCUGGCAUCGAUGAAGAACGCAGCGAAAUGCGAUAAGUAGUGUGAAUUGCAGAAUUCAGUGAAUCAUCGAAUCUUUGAACGCACAUUGCGCCCCUUGGUAUUCCAUGGGGCAUGCCUGUUCGAGCGUCAUCUACACCCUCAAGCUCUGCUUGGUGUUGGGCGUCUGUCCCGCCUCUGCGCGCGGACUCGCCCCAAAUUCAUUGGCAGCGGUCCUUGCCUCCUCUCGCGCAGCACAUUGCGCUUCUCGAGGUGCGCGGCCCGCGUCCACGAAGCAACAUUACCGUCUUUGACCUCGGAUCAGGUAGGGAUACCCGCUGAACUUAAGCAUAUCAUA